GGUUCAGAAGCGAAAAAUCGCGCUAAGUUUCGGCCUUAGAGGUGGGAACUAAUAUCCCCUGAACUU
rnacentral:tRNA from 1 species